UGCUCAAGUUUCAAGACCUAACCUCAUUUAAUUUUAAGGUUGUGUGUUUACUUACCUGCCUCAUUCUUGAGGGAAGAAUUAUGUUUGUGCAUGAUAAAUAAUUGUUGAGUGAGUAACUGUUGUGAAUGAAAGGAGAGGAGACCAUUGUCUUCUCUCCUGUUUUGUCUUCUCCAGUCUCCCUCCCUGUUUCUGAGGUUGAGGCACCUCCUUAGAAGAAUCCAGUCUCUGCUGCUACUGACCUUCGGAGUGUAGCCUCAUCUCGUUUAUCUUUGUGGCCGCCAAGCCCAGCAUAAUCCCAGCCACUGCAUGAUUGAUUGAGGAAACCUGGCAGGCCACAGUCAAGGAGUGUUUAUAAUGCCUAAAGCUUGCACUGAAAACUUCAAGGCAAUUUAAUUUGGUGUUUGACCGGCUCUGAUGUCAUCCAUACAAUCCUCCUCCUGGAGUGUUCACACGCCUCCUCCUCAACCCUGCUAGACAAAGACCCUGGAUGAU